rnacentral:rRNA from 1 species
GCAGCCACUCAUUCAAAGAGUGCGUAAUAGCUCACUGGUCGAGUGAUCCUGCGCCGAAGAUUUCCGGGGCUAAAACUUACUACCGAAGCUACGGCAUCAGUAAUGAUGGGUAGGGGAGCUUCCCAUACGGGUUGAAGCAUGACCGUAAGGACAUGUGGACAGUAUGGGAGUGAGAAUGUUGGCAUGAGUAGCGAGAUGUGGGUGAGAAUCCCACAGGCCGUAAACCCAAGGUUUCCAGGGGAAGGUUCGUCCGCCCUGGGUUAGUCGGGACCUAAGCUGAGGCCGAAAGGCGUAGGUGAUGGACAACAGGUUGAUAUUCCUGUACUACCGAUAACCAUUUGAGAGAAGGGAUGACACAGUAGGAUAAGCUAAGCACACUGUUGGUUAUGUGUGCCCAAGCAUUGAGGCAGUCAAAGCAGGCAAAUCCGCUUUGAUAAUGCUGGGAUGUGAUGGGGAGCGAAAUUUAGUAGCGAAGUAGCUGAUUUCACACUGUCAAGAAAAGUCUCUAUCGAGGUUAAAGGUACCCGUACCGC